GACAGAGGGUGCAAACGUUGUUCGGAUUUACUGGGCGUAAAGCGCGUGUAGGCGGCUUUGCAAGUCGGAUGUGAAAGCCCCCGGCUCAACCGGGGAACGGCGCGGGAAACUAGCAGGCUUGAGUUCGGGAGAGGGAAGCGGAAUUCCGGGUGUAGCGGUGAAAUGCGCAGAUAUCCGGAGGAACACCGGUGGCGAAGGCGGCUUCCUGGACCGACACUGACGCUGAGGCGCGAAAGCUAGGGGAGCAAACGGG
rnacentral:rRNA from 1 species